AAAGAAACUAACAAGGAUUCCCCUAGUAACUGCGAGUGAAGCGGGAAAAGCUCAAAUUUAAAAUCUGGCGGUCUUUUGGCUGUCCGAGUUGUAAUCUAGAGAAGUGUUAUCCGCGCUGGACCGUGUACAAGUCUCCUGGAAUGGAGCAUCAUAGAGGGUGAGAAUCCCGUCUUUGACAUGGACUCCCAGGGCUUUUGUGAUGCGCUCUCAAAGAGUCGAGUUGUUUGGGAAUGCAGCUCAAAAUGGGUGGUAAAUUCCAUCUAAAGCUAAAUAUUGGCGAGAGACCGAUAGCGAACAAGUACCGUGAGGGAAAGGUGAAAAGAACUUUGGAAAGAGAGUUAAACAGUGCGUGAAAUUGCUGAAAGGGAAACGCUUGAAGUCAGUCGCGUUGUCCGGGGAUCAACCUUGCUUUUGCUUGGUGCACUUUCUGGUUAACGGGUCAGCAUCAAUUUUGACCGUUGGAAAAAGAUCAGGGGAAUGUGACAUCUUUGGAUGUGUUAUAGCCCUUGGUUGCAUACAACGGUUGGGAUUGAGGAACUCAGCACGCUCUCUCUCAGGAGGGUCGGACUUGGGGUCACGUACGUGCUUAGGAUGCUGGCAUAAUGGCUUUAAUCGACCCGUCUUGAAACACGGACCAAGGAGUCUAACAUACCUGCGAGUGUUUGGGGUGGAAAACCCGAGCGCGUAAUGAAAGUGAAAGGUUGAGAUCCCUGUCAUGGGGAGCAUCGACGCCCGGACCAGACCUUUUGUGACGGUUCCGCGGUAGAGCAUGUAUGUUGGGACCCGAAAGAUGGUGAACUAUGCCUGAAUAGGGUGAAGCCAGAGGAAACUCUGGUGGAGGCUCGUAGCGAUUCUGACGUGCAAAUCGAUCGUCAAAUUUGGGUAUAGGGGGCGAAAGACUAAUCGAACCAUCUAGU
rnacentral:rRNA from 1 species